GACGGAGGAUGCAAGCGUUAUCCGGAAUUAUUGGGCGUAAAGCGUCCGCAGGUGGCUGUUCAAGUCUGCUGUCAAAGCGCAGAGCUUAACUCUGUACAGGCGGUGGAAACUGAAGAGCUAGAGUAUGGUAGGGGUAGAGGGAAUUCCAGGUGUAGCGGUGAAAUGCGUAGAUAUCUGGAGGAACACCGGUGGCGAAGGCGGCAUCCUGGACCGGCAUUGACGCUGAGGAGCGAAAGCCAGGGGAGCAAACGGG
rnacentral:rRNA from 1 species